rnacentral:sRNA from 1 species
CCCUAGCCCUGAUAGUAGUGAAAAUCCUUUUUUGUCAUCAGUUCGAGUUCGCUUGCAAAGAGAGUAUCGAGAACGAGACAAAAAAGAUUGUAAUGAAUAGCAGGAAAUUGC